rnacentral:rRNA from 1 species
CCUACGGGUGGCAGCAGUGGGGAAUAUUGCACAAUGGGGGAAACCCUGAUGCAGCGACGCCGCGUGAGUGAAGAAGCGUUUCGGCACGUAAAGCUCUAUCGGCAGGGAAGAAAAUGACGGUACCUGACUAAGAAGCCCCGGCUAACUACGUGCCAGCAGCCGCGGUAAUACGUAGGGGGCAAGCGUUAUCCGGAUUUACUGGGUGUAAAGGGCGCGCAGACGGCAGUGCAAGCCAGGAGUGAAAGACCGGGGCUGAACCACGGGACUGCUUUUGAAACUGUACGGCUAGAGUACAGGAGAGGCAGGCAGAAUUCCUGGUGUAGCGGUGAAAUGCGUAGAUAUCAGGAGGAACACCGGUGGCGAAGGCGGCCUGCUGGACUGAGACUGACGUUGAGGCUCGAAGGCGUGGGGAGCAAACAGGAUUAGAUACCCUUGUAGUC